UUCGCAAGUUGUCGACGUGCUCGUUUCUAGCUGUUAACAACUUGUAACAAGGUUGAUGGCAUUAUCAGAUUUGUUGCAAGGUUCUAACAAGUCUGAUACAGUCGUGAUAUAACGAGAAUCUUACAAGGUUGUAACAAUAUUGUUAUAUCAUGACUGUAUCGGACUUGUUGGAGCAACCUUGCAACAAGUCUGAUAAUAUCAACAAGGUUGUUGCAAGUUGUUAAGUGUUAACAGCUUGUUCCAAACUUGUUGACAACUUGGGAC